CCCAAUCCCGCUCCCAAAAUUCUCCUUUCCCUCUUGUAAGUUCCACUCUCGGCUCUCUCUCCCUCUCAGCUCUGAACCCUCACUAUCCGACGUAACCCCUUCCUUUCACUCUUCAUCCUCUCUCCCUCUCCACCGUAAUCGCAGCCGCAGUCUGUGAUCUGUCACUCUCUCAACCCCCACUCUCCCAAACCCUCACUCAUCUGUGCCUCUCACUCUCUCAACCUCUCACUCUGUCAACCCCUCACUGUCGCAUCCCUCACCUCUAUUGCGUUCAGAUACCUACAAAAAAAGGAGCCCUCAAUGCUGAACCCAGUUACUCAUUCCAAAUUUCCGGUUUCCUUUAAAGAUUAUGGCUGCUGCUGUAACUGCGAGAACUGUUCGUGUUGUCAUUGUUGUUUUUGAUGGACCCAGUAGCUUUAUUGCUUAACUAGGAUAACAUUUUCAAGUGGCAUCCACGUCGCUUGUUCCCUCUUUACCCAUCAGGCCCCAGCUUUGGAUCUUUAUAGCACAAAAAAGCAUGUUCAACCCUUUCCUCUCUCCCUCUCCCUCACAUAUUUUUUCAUCACUAGAAAUUAAUUUCGUAUAAAUAUUAAAAUCAUUACUAAAAUAAUAAAUAAGACGAUAAAUAUCUGUUAUUGACAUA